rnacentral:misc_RNA from 1 species
GGAGCUUUGGAGGUCACUUUUAGGCACGCAUUGGUUACCAUACCAUUAGGAAUGCCAACGAUAGUAUGUUGGCAUGAUUUCUUGAUAGUUUAUUGCAACGACUUGUAUUGAAAAAUAGUGAUAGACCGUAUUCCAGUAACCAAAUUCAACGGAUAAAUCUCGCAAGGGGCCCUAUCAAAGAGCAUUCUAUGCUCAGACUUAUUAUAAGCUUUCUCUGUAUUCUUUAUAAGUUUAAAUAAUAUUCACCACCGCUUUCAGAGAAGUGAUUAUAACGCUUCAUUAUGCAGCUAAAAAUUGAACAUGAAAG